rnacentral:rRNA from 2 species
GAUUAGCCAUGCAUGUCUAAGUACAUGCCGUAUUAAGGCGAAACCGCGAAUGGCUCAUUAAAUCAGUCAUGGUUCCUUGGAUCGUACCUUACUACUUGGAUAACUGUGGCAAUUCUAGAGCUAAUACAUGCAGCAGAGCUCCGACCUUCGGGGACGAGCGCUUUUAUUAGACCAAAACCAAUCGGACCUCGUGUCCGUCCUUUGUGGUGACUCUGUAUAACUUUGGGCUGAUCGCACGGGCCUGUCCCGGCGACGUAUCUUUCAAGUGUCUGCCUUAUCAACUUUCGAUGGUAGGUUACGCGCCUACCAUGGUCGUAACGGGUAACGGGGAAUCAGGGUUCGAUUCCGGAGAGGGAGCCUGAGAAACGGCUACCACAUCCAAGGAAGGCAGCAGGCGCGCAAAUUACCCACUCCCAGAACGGGGAGGUAGUGACGAAAAAUAACAAUACGGGACUCUUUUGAGACCCCGUAAUUGGAAUGAGUACACUCUAAAUCCUUUAACGAGGAUCCAUUGGAGGGUAAGUCUGGUGCCAGCAACCGCGGUAAUUCCAGCUCCAAUAGCGUAUAUUAAAGUUGUUGCGGUUAAAAAGCUCGUAGUUGGAUCUCAGUUCCAGACGGGUGGUCCUCCUACCGGUGGUUACUGCCUGUUCUGAACAGUCAGCCGGUUUCUCUUGAUGAUCUUCACCGGUUGUCUUGGGUGACCGGCAAGUUUACUUUGAAAAAAUUAGAGUGCUCAAAGCAGGCGUGACGCCUGAAUAAUGGUGCAUGGAAUAAUGGAAUAGGACCUCGGUUCUAUUUUGUUGGUUUUCGGAACACGAGGUAAUGAUUAAGAGGGACAGACGGGGGCAUUCGUAUUGCGACGCUAGAGGUGAAAUUCUUGGACCGUCGCAAGACGAACUACUGCGAAAGCAUUUGCCAAGAAUGUUUCCAUUAAUCAAGAACGAAAGUUAGAGGUUCGAAGGCGAUCAGAUACCGCCCUAGUUCUAACCAUAAACGAUGCCAGCCAGCGAUCCGGCUGUGU